AUGUCAUCAUCACACGCCGCUUGAGAGACCGGGAGUUGCUCCGGAAAAGAAAAGCAGAAGCCCAGGAGAAAGACUCAAUUCAGUGACACUCACAGCUUGGGGCCUGGCAAAGCUCUUUCUGGGCAGCAGGCUCUGGGAUCUUGAGCGAGGAAACCAAUACCAGAUGAAGAGAGAAAGAUGUCUCCUCUGUGCCCAACUCCUUGUCUGUGUCCCGGCAGGGAGCAGGAGAAGAGCAAACGGCAAAAGAGAGGCAGAGGAGCAGGGAGAGGACGAGGCCGCCAGCCGGUUACGGAGCCCAGUCCGGAGCCCAAUCCAGAGCCAGACCCUCAGCCCGAAGUGCUGGAGGAAACUGAGCACCCACUGACUGAGCCGGCAGCGCCCACGCCAGCGUGUCAAGCCCCGUCGCCCCCACUCACAACUCAGGAGCUCUUUGGUGGGACCCUGCAGGGAGCUGUGGAAAGGGAGUUGGCGGACGGGAGCCAGUAUCCAGAGGGUGAAGAGGCAGUCCUGAAACCAGCUGAAGCAGAAAUUCCGGAGGCUUUGAAUAUUCCUCUGGAAAAUGACCACCAGGAUAAUGAAUACUACACACCAGUUCUAUUUUAAUUUUUUGUUUUGUCUUCUGUCUGAUAAACUCAAGCAUUGUAGAGUGAUUUAGAUCAGCUGUUUCCAUGUGAGUAAUAAAACUCAGCUCUCCUGGCA
rnacentral:lncRNA from 1 species